ensembl:lncRNA
AUAUGUGAAUGUGGCCAUGCAAAGUGUGUGACAUUUCAUUAUCUACCCGGUAUGAAUUGCUAAAACAUUUUAGGCUGAAACAUUUCCACUAUGGUCGCAAUUGCCGGUAUCCCUGUCUAUAUGCAGAUUGCCCAUGUACAUUCACAAGUUGGAAGAAUCUUUUGAGUCACACAUAUCAAACACACAGGAAGUUAACAGCAGCAAAUGUUCAGUUAACUACAUUCUUUUGUCAGACGUGUGCAUGUAAGGAAAUUUUAACUGAAAAGGAAUACUUUGCUCAUGUAAAUCAACAUCUUAGGCAGUAUGAAAACGUAACUUGUAUGUUUAAAGGAUGUACGUUUGAGACAAACAUAUAUGGAACAUUUCACUCGCAUAAAAAUCGUAAACAUAAUCCCUACACUCUAAACGAUUUUAAGGCAGGUGUUGUUAAACUCGCUGCUCAGUCAGACGAAUCUGGUAGUACUGUAGAUGAUAGCCCCUCAUCUUCUGCGGACAUAGAUUUUGUACCUCCGUUAGAUGCAGAUAGUGAUAUAGAUACUUCAGAUGACCUGCCGAAAUUAGUAGAACAAAAAAUAGCUGCAGUUUUUCUGAAGUUGGAAAACAUUUUUCAUGUGCCAUCUACAGCUAUUGAUGAACUACUUGAUGAACUACACUUCCUCUUAAGUACUGUGUCUGUGCCUGUAACUUGUAGCAGUCUUUCAGAUUUUUUCAAAAACAAAAACCUUGAAGUUGAUAGCUUAAUUAUUAAGGAACUAGCUGAUGUACUGUGUAAAUCUAACCCUUUAGUAAAAUCAAUAGGGAAAGAUGGUCCCCUUUCUACAACUUAUAAGAGAAAAGAGUACUAUAAGGAUUUGUUAAAUAUUGUUGAGCCAGUGGAGUUUAUUCUGGACCAAAAAAAGAGCAGGACAUUUCAGUAUAUCCCAUUACUGCAGUCUUUACAGCAGCUACUUGAUUGUACUGCAGUGUUAAACGGUAUUAUCAGUAGCCACAGAACACAGGAAAGUACAGACCAGUUAGAUAAUCAGCAGUAUCGCUCUAUAAGAGACGGUUUGUAUUUUAAGGACAACACUUUCCUGUCAGGUGAUGAGUUGCGAAUUUGUUUAACUUUGUACAUCGAUGAUUUUGAGCUAUGUAAUCCCCUGGGUACAUCGCGAAAAAAACACAAAUUGUGUAGUGUGUACUGGAUUCUGAAUAACUUGCCACCAGGCUCUCAUUCAGCACUGUCUUCCAUUUAUUUAACGGUUUUGUGCAAAAGUGACGAUGUAAAGGUAUAUGGCUAUGGAAAAAUUCUAGAGCCACUUUUACAAGACCUUUGUACUUUAGAAGAGCAUGGUGUUUUCAGCUCAAAACUUGGGAAGUUUGUCAAAGGAACAGUCCAUAGUGUUGUAGCGGACAAUUUGGGAGCCCACGGAUUGGCUGGUUUUGUAGAGAGCUUCUCUGGCCAGUAUAUUUGUCGAUUUUGUACUGCUCAGAAAGUAGAUAUUCAAACAAGGGAUGUUCAUUCAGGUGCUUUUUUGCUUCGAACAAAAGAAAUACAUGAAGCACAUGUAAAGUCUGCACAGGAAACUGACACAAAUUGCUUUGGUGUGAAGAGAGCGUGUGUUUUAACAGAAAAUCUUCAACAUUUUCACGUUAACACAGGCUAUCCCCCAGAUAUAGUGCAUGACUUAUUUGAGGGUAUUGUCCCUUCUGAACUGGCACUAUGUUUCAGUGUUCUCAUCUCUAAGAAGUAUUUCAGUCUUGAAUGUCUUAACACACGAAUCGUCAAAUUUCCCUAUAAGUGGAGUGACAAAAAAAAUCGAUCUCAAGUUAUACCAAACAGCUAUUCAUGUAAGAAGACAAUAGGUGGCAACGCCCAUGAGAAUUGGAAUCUAAUUCGAUUGCUUCCAUUUCUAGUAGGAGACUUGAUUCCAGAGGAUGAGCUUGCUUGGCAAGUGAUAUUAGACCUGAAGGAAAUUGUAGAAUUAGCUGUGGCACCAGUUCACACUGAUGAGACAAUUGCUUAUCUUGAUGUCAAAGUGUCUGAACACAGACAGAGACUACUCGAGCUUAACCCGGACGUAAAGCUUUUACCUAAACACCACUAUCUUGAGCAUUACCCGCACCUGAUUAAGUGUUUUGGGCCUCUUCUAGGUUUAUGGACGAUGCGAUUUGAAGCUAAACAUAGCUUUUUUAAACAAGUAGCUCGACACACAAAUAAUUUCAGGAAUAUUGCACUCACACUGGCAGCCAAACACCAGCAAUUCAUCAGUUACCACAUAUAUUCAUCCACACUCAAUACAUCAAAUUUGGAAGUUUCAAAUGUCUCUACAGUCCAGGUUGAUGUUCUGAAUAAGGAAGUUGUGUUGGCUCUCAGGCAGAAGUAUCCAAAUAUCAGUCAAGUUCACCUUGCAAAAAGUGUCACCACUAGAGGAAUUAACUACAAAAAUGGAAUGUUAAUUGCAUGUGGUUCAACUGCUGGAAUGCCAGAAUUUGCAGAAAUUCUACAAAUGUGCAUAAGGGGAGAUGAGCUGAGUUUCAUUGUGCGUUUAUUGUGUGCAUGGUAUAGAGACCACUUCAGAUCUUUUGAGUUGACUUCUUCACCAGGUAAAGAGGUUGCCCUGGUUCAGCUUGAAGAACUGACAGACUCGAUAGGUGAACACCGGAUAUGUCAAACAAGGUUUGCAUACCAAACCCUGAAGAGACACAUCGUCAUCAAAGAUUAAAAAAUCAGGAUGGCAGGACCAGUUAGCUUCAGAGUCCUUUUUGGAAGUGAAGAUGAUGCAAGAAAACUAACCAUUAAAUCCGGAAUACCGUCUUCUGUGGAUGAAUUGGCUUUUGAAAUUAAGACCUUCUUUGGAGUAACAGAGCAGUUUAGGCUUCAAUACAAAGACGUAGACUUUGGAAACGAAUUCAUGAACCUCUUAUCAAUUUCUGAUAUUCAAGAUCGCAGUACUUUGAAAGUGGUAUACUUACCUUGUGAGGCUACCACCUCCGCAAUAUCCUCAGCUCCAUCCACUAAAGAUAACUGCUCCACAAUCCCAGUUACUCCCUCCAAUGUAUCUUGCAGCUCCUCGUCACAAGAACCAAGUGAUUCAGCAUCUGUUGACUCCUGUAGCAGCAAUGAUACUGUCAUAUUGUCAUCUCCUGACUCCCGGUCUUGCACUUGGCCUAAAGAUUUUGUAGUGCCACGAUUUUCAUAUUGUGCCGAGAUGCAGCUCCAGAAGGGAAAUGAUGAAUUCAAUGCAAGUGGAACUCUCCUAUCUCUUACGCCCAAACUCAGAUCUGAUAUUCUUGAAGGCAUUGCAGAAGAAAUAAUCAAGUAUACAGCAUAUCCAAAGGACAAUCAGUUUGAAAAAGUUGCUGAGGCCUUGAUACAAACCCAUCCAUGUUUGCGUGAGAAAGGAACACGGACUGGGUGUUGUGGAUGGAAGCACUAUAUUAAGAUAAAGAUGAUGAACUUCCGCACCAAGCUUGGCCGAGCUGGACACCCAGAAGUCACAGUCAACUCACUUAAAAACAAACAGAAAGGCCAGGGAAAACCAGCUGCAAACAUAAAAAAGCCACGGAGGGCAGAGGUUAAUUUCUGUCCAAACCAUCCGAGAGGUGAAACCAAUGACAGCCUGGAGGUGGAAAGGGUUGCUCUAUUGACCGAGGUAAAAAAAAAGAAUAACGAGACCGUUAUCAAGGAAAAGAUGCAGCGUACCUUCUCAUACCGACGACAAGAAAUUCUUCAGGAGCCAAUGAUUACAGAGGUCCGAAACAGAUGGCCAGCAUUGUUUGAAAUUGGAGAAGUAAGUAGUUAAGUGUUGUUUGAAACGGAAG